GUCAACAGCAACAACUGGGUACUGAGCAUCAAGCAGCAGGUAACAUAGUACCGGUGAUGAUUUUUAAGCUUCAGAUUCAAUGACUUACAGGUGCUGUGUAAAAUAAGUUCUCCAGGAGACUCUGGUCAUAUUGAGGGUCAUUUGGCUCAC